AUUCCAGUUUUUGAGAUUGUUAGGCUGAGAACUUCCAAUUACUCGCCUGAUAUCUUGCAACUGUCGUAUGCUAGUUCCCAUCAUUGGUGAAUUUUUUCAGCCUUCGAGCUUGUCUGCUGAAAUUAAGAUAAUU
ensembl:ncRNA C54G4.14 ncRNA